CUAGGUAGGCAAUAAAAAUACACUUGAAAGAAGUCAUAUUACAGGAGACAGUGAUAUCCUCAAUUGCUGGAUAUUUUCUGUCAGCCACUCAACUACGAUUUUCUAGGGACGAGGAUUUGUUGUCCCUUGUGAUGCAUCGUCACUUUGGCCCAUAACUUUAUUCUUGAAAAAGACAUAUUGCUAGAUGUGGAACAAUGUGGAUACGACAACGACAUUGAAUAAUUUGGACUUGUUGAUGGCAAAAGGACCUAUAUUUCGACGUACAUGAAAUGUGGGAAUCAUGGAUUAGGUUUUCCAGUAGGGGCAAAAACAUACACUAUGUGAAAGCUUUCUUACGAAUGCGCACCUUCUUGCAGUAUUACUGACCCAAUUCCCUUCGAUCGGAGACGUAUUUAUUAUUUCUUGAAUCAAUACUUGGCCAUUUCAAAACCUAGAAGUUUCUACACGGCAAGAACUGACGAACCAUCAGCACCUUCUUCCCUUCAUCAUCUACCCCAAAGCAGAAUCUUGACCCUCCCAGUCCCACCACAGCAAUCGAUAAAGAUUCCAAGAUCCAGGGACCAAAGCAAAACCAAGAUCGAAUAAAGAUUUUGUAGAAGCCUAUUUCCCCUUCAAGGCUGGACUUCUCCGACGAAUACGACGACAUUACCUAACUUUAUGGCGUCGAUUGACGAUCGAAGGAGAGCCCGAAUCCUCGACAUGGAUCCGGCGCCGCGGCAGAAGCCCGAUCGGAGUAUCCUGAGGGCAUUCCAGAGGCGCAUGGGCGGCGAGGAGUUUCUCUUGAAGAUUGCCCAUCAGACGGCUACCACCGGUUCUUGAAAAACCGUCAGAGGUGACGUCACCUCGCAGUUCACCCGUAGGAGAUCGGUGGAGCCCAUCCGCGUGGAUGCCACGUGCUCCGGAUGACGAGGGCAUUUAUAGAAGGCAGCCGGGUCGGGUCCGAAUCAACGACUGAAUCGAACGGUCCGGUCCAUUGUGAGGGAAACGAGUCAACCGGCUCCGCAGACCAGUCCUCGUGGUCGGUUUAUAUCCCUCCGAUCGGAACAUAUUGUC
rnacentral:lncRNA from 1 species